AGGUAACGCCCAUUAACGUAACCGAGGAUUUGACAAGACUAACUAGGCUGCUGCUCCCGCUGAUUGAGGAUAAAGGACGCGUUAACGUUAUUGACUUCCUCAUUGUGGUUUCGCUAUGAGCUGGCGUUACGUCAUAAGUGAACAGUGUCGGAUGUUCCUUCCUCUCCGGUAGGGAGGGAUGGGUGGAUGCUCCACUUUAAUCUGGUGUCAUUGCUCUUUGCUUGAAAGAUAUAAAUAAAGCACUUCCUGUGUUCAGCACUCAAACGACACACACACUGUGUGUGUGUAAAAACCAAGCAGCCAAAGUGUUCAGAAAGGGGUUGUUCUAAACGGCAGUUUUGUUGUUUUAUGCUGAAUCCCAGGAAAUGGAAGGUGGUUGUUUUCAUCUUGGGGGUGAUGUUUCUACUUUCACCAAAUGGAUGUAGAGCGACACUUAAUACGGUCUGAUCGUUUUAAUGCCUGCAGGAACAUGGCUGAUGGAGACCGGCGGAGGAGUGACGGGGACACUGUGGACGCCUUGUCAUUUUUGUCAAAGAGGUCAAAUGCAGAGCCCGAAGGCAGCAGUAAGACAGCAGGCUCUGACCCCUACCUCUACAAGAUGGACUAUCCCUGCAUCGGAACCUGUCUGAUCAUCAACAAUAAGAACUUCCACAGUAGCACAAGUAACUACAGCUGCACACACACACACACACACCUACCUGUUUCUUUGGACAAAUAUUCUGUGGAUGUAAUAACUCAUAUUAUAAUAAUAAGGGCUCAGCUGAGGAAGGUU